CAGUAGCCGCGGGAAUACGUAGGGUGCAAGCGUUAAUCGGAAUUACUGGGUGUAAAGCGUGCGCAGGCGGUUUGUUAAGACAGAUGUGAAAUCCCCGGGCUUAACCUGGGAACUGCAUUUGUGACUGGCGAGCUAGAGUAUGGCAGAGGGGGGUAGAAUUCCACGUGUAGCAGUGAAAUGCGUAGAGAUGUGGAGGAAUACCGAUGGCGAAGGCAGCCCCCUGGGCCAAUACUGACGCUCAUGCACGAAAGCGUGGGGAGCAAACAGGAUUAGAUACCCGCGUAGUCCCUGUCUCUUAUAC
rnacentral:rRNA from 1 species